CAGGUUUACUGUCUAGGACUUUGUCAGUGCAAGGACAUGGGACUGAGGCCUGGGCUUUCUUCUGGGCAGGGUUCUUCAGAAUCUGGCUCAGACUGUGAGUAAAAGAACAAAGAGGAGCUAAGAGAAAGAAGAUCAGGGAGUGAUCUUUCAUACCGGACAAGUAAGAUCCAGAAACACCAUUGUUUUUGAAGACAAAAUGUGCUUGACGUUUGUAAAGAUGAAAGCCCAGGCAGACCUGACACUUGGAAUCCUGGAUGAAGGUGUGAGCCCACAGAAGAAACCUGCUAAGGGCGGCAACCAUGUGUGUUCUCCUGGAAGUAGGACGCGAUUAUGUGAUUAUUUGUUGACUGGAAAAAGCAAUUUAAGAGAAAAAUAAAUGGAACUGGGCUUUCA